ACGCAUUGUGUUUCUCUCUACACAGAUGGCAUCAGCUCUAGUUGUCGGUGUGCUCCUCUGUGGGGUGUGGCUUGGACCCCAUGUGCAGGCACAAGAACUAGAUAAAACCUGUAAAGUCUGUCCUUCUGGCUGGGCAGUGUUUGAUGGACGCUGCUACUUAUUCAACAUGCAGGAAAAGGAAUGGAUCGACGCUGAG